UUCUCAUGUCUGUUUAAUUUUUCUGCAUAUGUUGAUGAUUUAGAAGUAUUCAUGGAUGCGUGCACAAUAAGCCGAUGGUCUGGAUUUGAAAAUGAAGGAAUCAUGGUUGUGUGCACGCAAAUUGAUAUCGUUAGGUCCGCAUGUCUGCUCUCUCUGAUUCCUGAAUUGAUUUGAGGGCCUGGUAACGACCUACAUUUCUUUUCCUUUUCCGUUUCUAAUUUUCCAAUUUGCCUGUGAUGUAUGAAUAUUUGUCCGUACCAUCUGAGAGUUCUUUUAGAUUUCUCUGAUUGAAACACCAAUUCUUUAAUCUGAGGCUUUUUUACCUUAACUUUUUUCUCUUUUCAUUUUGAUUUCUUAUCUAAAAUUUAGGCAACAAUUUAGAGUCUCUGAUUUGCUUUUUCUAUAGCGAUUUCAGUGCUGUACGUUGCCGAUAGUAAUUGGAACUGAAGUUUUUAUGCAUUUGUCAUCUUAGGCCUAUGCUUCCAGAUGUUCCUACAAUUCUUAUUUCAUCGUUUACCCUUUUUCUUUUAUUGUAUAAUGAAUAUUUGUCUGUAUUAUUAUUGUUUGUUUUGCUAAAAUUGAACUCUUAUACAUUUAAAUGAUACUGUUAUAUAUAUAUAUAUAUAUAUAUUCUCUGCAUAUUUAUACGAUUCUCAAUGAAAAAUAAAUGUACAGUUUUUAACCAAUGUACAUUGGUUUUGUCUUGGUCUGUUUUGAGUUUCUCAGCUUUGAAUAGUAAAGUUAAAGGGUAGAAUAGAAUCAAUCUUUGAGAAUGGGACAGUAAUGACAGUAGAUGUAGAUUGUGGAAAAAUUUGCCCUAUGAACUUUAAGCAACUGCCACUCUAGAUAAUGAAUAGAAUCAUUCUCUGAAUAUUUAAAUCACGAAUUCCUAAAGGUUGAAAAAUUGAUUUUGAAGUAAUUUCUCCACAUCUGUCCUUCUUUGUAUAUUGAUUGUGCAGAGAAUUGAUUUUGUAGAGAACUGUACUAAGAAUCACCUAAUCACCUCAAUUAUAAAAAUGAGUUUAAUGUUGUCAUUUGAUGUGUAAUAAUCUAAUUUUAUAGAAUUUCGAAUUGCGUUGGGUCUUGAUAACGGUACCGUUUUGUCAUAUUACCGUUUUGUCAUAUUGCGGUUAUGGAUUGUUUUUUAAAACCUUGCCUAUGUUCACAAGUAUCUUGUAACAUGAUUUAUGCAACAUGAUUUAUGCAGUUUAGUUAAUUUGAAUGACUUGAUUAUCUUAAAAAAGAUAGAAGUUGUUUCUAUUAGCAACUUAGUUAUGAUGUUAGAUAAACUAGCAGUUUAGUACACCAAAUAACAUCAAACAAGUCUACUACACAACACCCAAAUGGAUUUUGAAAUGGCUUUAAUCGAUAUAAUCGAUAUCUCUUGUUUUUUGAUGCACUUAAACAAGUUAAAAUCCUCAAAAAAAAAUGAUUGCCGAAUUACUUUGCUUUUAUGAUUACGAAGACUUCCCUAUUGAUGGGAAAUAGGUAUAGUUUUUAUUUUAUUUUAUUUCAUUUAUUUUAUUUAAUAGGAAUUACUCUUUCUUAACUUAUUUAUAUACUUGUGACAAUUUGUGUGUAGAUUUUAGGAAUUGAAUUAGAUGAUCCUAUUGAGACACUAGUAAAUCAUUUGUCUGGAAAUUCGAGUGAAGCUAAUGAUUUGCAUAUGCCUAGUAAUAAAGGAAAAAAAUUUCAUGAUAUAAGUUUAAUUAGAUUGAAAAUAAAAUUUGAGAGUAUUGAUGUUAUUUAGGAGAAUGUAAAUUCACAUCUCAAGGCAUACCUUUUAUUUUUAUUAGGAAAUGUUCUUUUUAGCACUUCUUCUUUUGACGGUAUUUCUGCUAUUUAUUUACCUUUUCUUGAAGUACUUGAUAUAAACAAUUAUGUUUGUGGGACAGCUGUGCUUGCUACCCUUAAGGUUUCAAUUAAAACAGCUUGCUACCCUUAAGGUUUCAAUGAAUAAAGUAUGGA
rnacentral:lncRNA from 1 species